AUGCUUGAAUGUCCACCUUUCACUUCUUUGCUCCCUUGCAGGUUUCCAGUCUUGAAUCGCAUUGUGCCAACUUGCUGGGAGAAACCUUUUUGCCUGUUUUCAAUGGGCACCUUGCUGUUGGACUGCCUGUAUUUCCAAUUUUCAGUACAGUAUCAAUUAAUCCUACAUUCCAGUUUCUUGAGGGUGCCCUGGUGGCUUGCAAUUGAUCCAAAGGAGGCCUCUCGGACCAGAAGGGAGAAGAGACCAGCACAGAGCAAGAAGAAGCCCCGGCAUCCAGUUUCCCCCUUUCCUCUUCUAAGGAGAUCCCGAGGGAUUCUUUUUCUCCUGGAUUUCUUUCAAUAAACAUCUCGACUUCUUCUGGGCAGCUGCAGAGGAGUCUCUUGCCACUGCAUCUUGAGCUGGAGUUGGGCUGGGAGAAGGCCACUGGUUUUCAUGGGCUCACCUGUGCCUGACUCCAGGGGUUCCGGUCCUCUGAAUCACAUCUGACAGGUUAAAUCCAGGUGGCAAUCUCAGGGGACUUGGCCGCCAAAUCACCACAACCAUCCCCUCACGAGUCGUCAGAAGACUAGAAAUGGGCAAAAAAAUCAACCCAGAAAGUGCCCGGGUGUAGCCUUUGGGAUAUUUUGGAGUGGCAUUUUGGGGCAGAGAGGGGUUUGGGGCAACCCUCAGACCCCUAGGGUGUCUUUUAUCAUUGCAGUUGGCUCAUAGUCUGGUGUGUUGUCCCAUUUCUCCACUUAAGUAGCUCAGCCUUUCCACCUAAUCUCUCAGCCCCAUAGCUUCUGCUGCAGUGCUGACAAUAUUCUGGGUUGGCUGUCGAGCAAUCAGUUCUCAGGGACCCAAUUCCAGAAAGAAGAGGGAGGGGUGGCUUACAGGCUCCGGUGAUUCCAUCAGGAGCUGUCGUUCUUUGUAAAGAGAUUUGUUAGGUUUUGUCUCCGAGUAAUAGCAUUUGGUUCAGCAGAAGCCUUUUAAUGAGUAGCUGCGUUCUCACCUGCUCUUCCGUCUUACUUGAGGUUUGACGAGCCACGAAGACAGUCACCAGAAUGCUUUUUUUUUUUUGCUCCCAUGGGAAGCUCAAAACAAGAGCCGGAACCCCACUGAUGUUUGCAUACAUUUACCUAACUUGCUGCAGCUAAUUGUGGCUAAUUGAGGAGGUGCCGGGCGGGCUGACUCUCAGUCAUGUGCUUGCGUAGGCAACCAAUUCUGCAAAACAAAACCGUCAAUGGCCGAGGUGCCACAGCCAUGCAAAGGGUAACUGGGUUAAAGCCUUUUGCUGUCCUGGUCCGGGAGGACCUCUGUGCCCUUCUGAAUUGCUAACAGGUUCAGGACCUUGGUCAGCACCACAGUGUUUUUUCUUUAUUACUGUUAGUGCCCCAACAAAUAUUCUGUGGCAGCUGAAUUCAGCAUUCCAUAUGCCAACUCCUAAAAUGAGGGGUGCACAAAAAUUAUAAGUUUGAAACUGCACCUGAAUCAGCACCAAGGUUGCCACAUAUGUAGCAGAAAGUCUGCUCUUUUUCUGAGUAAACCCCAUACAACCAACUUCACCUAAGCAAUGGACAACCAGGGACGUCCACUCAGACAAAAUGCCUCAUUUGCAAUGGUACGUUUAAAAUCAAAAGGCCUUUAAACAUUCUCUCAUCUAUGUUUGUCAAAUAAGGCAAACUCGAUUGCUUUCCCAGCACAGAAUUCUCAGCUCCUGAUCUCUGAUCAUCAGUGAUCAUCAGUAGGGGUAAAGGGGGCAAGGCCUGCUCCAGAAGCUUGUUCUCUUGAUGCCAUCUAUUGGCUCUUUGCUGAAUUCUGACUAGCGAAGGGCAGGAAUGGUUUAAUGCCAGGUCAUUGGCUCUUUGCUGAAUUGUGACUAACGAAGGGCAGGAAUGGUUUAAUGCCAGGUCUCUCAAGAGCACGGACUUCCCUUCUCUGCGUCCUCCAGCAGCCGCCCAUUCAAGGGCAGGACUUCAGGAAUCCCUGCCCUGCCUCCUCAUCUGAGCAGCUAACUGCUACUGGUCAUUUGAAAGUUUUGAUUAGCAUGUUUGUAACGUUCAGAUAUUUUUGCAAUUCAUCUUGUGUUCCUGCUAGGGGAUGAAGGCAGGAUAUUAAUACAAUAAAUAUAUAAAUAAUAAAAUGAAAUAAAGAUAU
rnacentral:lncRNA from 1 species